AAAACGGCCCUUUUCAGGGCCAUCAGAUAUUUAUCGAGUCGAUUCC
rnacentral:ncRNA from 1 species